CGGGCUGUGGCGCAGCUUGGUAGCGCGCUUCGUUCGGGACGAAGAGGCCGCGAGUUCAAAUCUCGCCAGCCCGA
rfam:Bifidobacterium magnum strain LMG 11591 Contig04, whole genome shotgun sequence.